GUAGAUCAAAAAUUAUUUUGCUAGCUUACAGGAAUAAUAUAAGGAUAAAAAUAUUAAAGUCCUACCCCAAAUAGAUAAAAGUGAGAAGGCUUAUUUUAAUAUCUUAUAACCCAUGGAGAUGGUGUUCAACCGUUAAGACUGUUGCUUCCAAAGUCAGGGUGCUUGGAGGACAUAAGAACAGCUAAAUAGAAUGAUCAUAGAAUUGUAGGGUUGGAAGGGACCCUGAGGGUCAUCUAGUCCAACCCCCUGCAAUGCAGGAAUAAAAAGUUAACGAUGUAAAAAUAAUAAAAUAAUGAGGCAAAAGUUAUAGAAAAGAAUGGCAAGCAGAAAAGUUAUGGUUUCAUUUACUAUGUUAAUAUUUCUGCGUCUGUAAGAAAUAGCUAACCCUGUGCAGGUAUUUUAUUUAAUUUGACAGAAACUUCGAUUCAGUAAUAGCAACAAGAUGGAAACGUUUGGCAGAAAACCAGAAAGUUUAGCUCUGAAAAGGAAAAUGGCAAUGGAAUUUUUACACAUAUUCAUUCAUGUCCGCUUGUGAUGCACUACUACAUCAUACUGAUUCUAUGGCUCUCUUUUGGUAGACUGUAUUAAGAUCUAACCCUGUGGAGAUUGCUAGUUAUUAAGCAUGCCACUUUAAUAAUGUUUCAGUUUCUCAAAUUUGACGUUUUCUUGAUACAUAGUGGGUUAUAUUCUGGUUCCCAGAACUCUGAAGCAGAACACCCAGAAUAGUAUGUUGUAGAAACUAGCCCUGUUGUAGAUAUAAGCCUGUUGUGAAUACAAGACCAAAUCUUCCCAUACUUUGCUAUUUAAAUCUGGUAUAACUGCCUGUGUUUGGUACCUAUAAUUCCAGAUGUAUAUGCACACACAGUCCAUAAACUCAUUGAAAAAAUGGCCCUUGAAAAACCAUAUGCUUAUGCAGCCAUUCAUGUUCUUAGGCUGGGAGCAGGCAGAGUUAAGUCAUCUCACGAUCACCUUCGUUUGCAAGUUUUACAAAACCUGUUUGACUAAAGGUGAUGCUGGAGCAAAAUGAAUGAGUAUGAAAACCAUAGAAAGGACAGGGCUGGCUUGAUCUGCUAAACUGCAAUCCUAUGGAUGCUUACCUGGAUUAAUAGCCAUUGUACUCUAUGGCCCUUAUUUCCAGGCAGACUUCUGUCAGGCAAAACUCUCUUGCAGCAUGCUUAAUUAGAAAAAAAAAAAUCCUGCAGUUUCAAUGGCAUCAGGAUUUACUUGCUACUCUGCUAGGCUCUGAAGUCACCCAAUACACACUUAGAUUUCCAGGUGGGAAAGAGCAUCUCUAUUUGCUUCAGUGUCAGGAAAGCAUAAUGAAUCUGUUACAUUCAAGCAGACAUGGUGUUGGACCCAACCAAAAAAAGGAAACAGUUUUUUGUGCAGUUUGGAGGCCCUGUGCCCUCACAGGAGUAGCCAGAUUCGGGCUCCUGGGUGUUUCUGAAAUAUGCAAUUGGAGGGAAAACAGGAGGAACAACAUACAGGUCACUGGGACACAAGAGUAGAUUUUUUUACCCUUUCAAAGUUAACCAUAUUGUGUGUAUGUAUCUCAAAACCCAGUAUCAUCAGAAUUUUUUAUUUAUUUCAAAAUUGUAAAUGAAUAUAAAAUAUGUCUGUCUGUACCUUGGAGCUCUUUGAGAGCUGAUAUCUUUUCAAUAGGCUUUAAACAACCACAUAAUUUCAUUUGCAAAGGACAUACAAAUAUGGGGAAAGCAGCAAAAGAGGAACACACAGGAAGAAGAAGGAAAAAUACUGUAUUUACCUAUAUUCAGCAUAAGCAAAUUCUUAUACAAGUAAAUUACAAGUGUGUGUGUAGAUGUUUUAUUAUUUAUUGGGACUGCUACAGUCCUCCAUUACUCUUAUUAUGCUGCUGAAGGUUAGAAAGUCCCUUGUGAACUCUCACAGGUUUCACUCCCCUGUUUUAAAAUCAUAUCAAUGCUCAUAUCAGGCUCAUUUUGAGGCAGUGUUAAGUACAAGAAGGGUAAAAGCCGAUAUCUUUCUGCAAAAGACAGAAAUAAAUCAGUGAAAAAUGAAUUUCAUAAUUAACACAAAAUACAGAUAACCGCAGCUCAUAUAUCUAUCUGUGUGUGUUAGAGAGAGAUGAGCCUCAUUGGCUUUCCUGUCAUAAAAUUGCAGUAAGAUAAUUUCCUGGUUCUAUCUGACACCUUGGAUGUUUUAAAGGUAAGGAAGACAAAUUGGUAAAACAAGACCAACCAUUGCAACCUGCAUAUUAAUUUCUCAAGCUGAAUUUGGGAAAGGAAAUCAGUUUCUGCCAGUUCCACAGGAAGGUGUGGGCACAAUUCUGAGUCUGAUCUUAGCAGAUGUGCGGAAAAUUUUCAGAGAGAUUUUGUUUAACUGAGCUUCAGUUUAGCGGGUAAGACCGGAUUUUGGCAAGGCACAGCUGUGGAACAAAGAAAAAGCUCUCGGACUCGGCGGGGGGGGGGCGAUUAAUUGUUAUGCUGUGGAUGAACCCUCAGAUGGGCAUUUCCACACACACAUUAAUAAAACAGUGCUGAGUAUCCACCUGCAAUCCAUUCAAAAAACUUGGUAAAACAAUCAGCAUAUAUGCAAAUGACUUUCCACAUCAUUUGGUGACAACCUCCUUUAUUAACCAACCUUUUUGUUAGUGGGGUCUUCAGAUAACAAGAUUACAGAAAUAUGCAUAAAAACAACUUGCUGUGCUUAUUCACAGUUACUGGAGUAAUCCACUUGGACCCUCUUCUGCACAAAUCCCAUUAAAUGCAGGAGUUUGCCAAGAGCAUAGAGCAUGACUGCCUUCGCUAUGUUGCUCCUAUUACCAAAUACAUCAGGCUCCUGAAAGAUCUGUAGCAGCCUCACAUACGAGUAUGUUUUGGCGACUCCAUGGGUGUGGAGAGCAAUGGAGCCACAAUGGGCUUGGAUUGGCUCAAAAUGUUCUGUGCUGCCACCACUCCUCUUGAGGAGGAGAGCUCACCCACCAGGAAGCAAACGUUUCAAGGAGUAAUUUUUUAAUGGGAGUUUAUAAAAUCCCAAUCCUGAUCAGGAUUGUGGAAGCAAUGAUCAAAAGCAGCUGAAGGGCUCUUCUUUUUACCAACAACAGUUCUACUCAAAGUAUUGUUUUUCUCUGUGCGAGAGGAAAAACUGAAAGUGUACAAUGUCAUUAUUUUCCCUUUUUCAUUUUGCCACAGUCAAAUGAGAAGUGCAGUAAGCAUACAGACACAAUUUCUCUCCCACCCUCCAAACUGAAGGGCAAGUCCUGCCAUGAGCAUUCAUGUCUUCUAUAUAUUCCUGACAUGCAUUUGAGAGUUGUUUUAAAGGACACUCUGUGGCUAUUAAAACAGAACAAAAGGUUAAAUCAGUCCAUAGCAGAGUCUGCUAAUGGGACAUAAUCUGCCUUGGAAACUGAAUGUGUUUUCCAAAGGAAGAAUCCACCCC